AGAGCGAACGCUGGCGGCAGGCCUAAUACAUGCAAGUCGAACGGACCCUUCGGGGUUAGUGGCGGACGGGUGAGUAACACGUGGGAACGUGCCCUUUGGUUCGGAACAACUCAGGGAAACUUGAGCUAAUACCGAAUGUGCCCCCAUCCUUAAACAAGAUGGGUGGGAAAGAUUUAUCGCCAUUGGAGCGGCCCGCGUCUGAUUAGCUAGUUGGUGAGGUAAAGGCUCACCAAGGCGACGAUCAGUAGCUGGUCUGAGAGGAUGAUCAGCCACACUGGGACUGAGACACGGCCCAGACUCCUACGGGAGGCAGCAGUAGGGAAUCUUGCGCAAUGGGCGAAAGCCUGACGCAGCCAUGCCGCGUGAAUGAUGAAGGUCUUAGGAUUGUAAAAUUCUUUCAGCGGGGACGAUAAUGACGGUACCCGCAGAAGAAGCCCCGGCUAACUUCGCGCCAGCAGCCGC
rnacentral:rRNA from 1 species